rnacentral:rRNA from 1 species
UACGUAGGGUGCGAGCGUUGUCCGGAAUUAUUGGGCGUAAAGAGCUCGUAGGCGGUCCGUCGCGUCGAAUGUGAAAACCCGGGGCUCAACUCCGGGCUUGCAUUCGAUACGGGCGGACUAGAGUUCGGUAGGGGAGACUGGAAUUCCUGGUGUAGCGGUGAAAUGCGCAGAUAUCAGGAGGAACACCGGUGGCGAAGGCGGCAUCCUGGACCGAUACUGACGCUGAGGAGCGAAAGCGUGGGGAGCGAACAGG